rnacentral:rRNA from 1 species
CGUAGGUGGCAAGCGUUGUCCGGAAUUACUGGGUGUAAAGGGAGCGUAGGCGGGAACGCAAGUUGAAUGUGAAAUUUACGGGCUCAACUCGUAAACUGCGUUCAAAACUGUGUUUCUUGAGUUAAGUAGAGGCAGGCGGAAUUCCCUGUGUAGCGGUGAAAUGCGCAGAUAUAGGGAGGAACACCAGUGGCGAAGGCGGCCUGCUGGGCUUUUACUGACGCUGAGGCUCGAAAGCGUGGGUAGCAAGCAGGAUUAGAUACCCUGGUAGUCCACGCUGUAAACGAUGAUUACUAGGUGUGGGGGGACAGACCCCCUCCGUGCCGGAGUUAACACAAUAAGUAAUCCACCUGGGGAGUACGACCGCAAGGUUG